CAUGUACUCCCUCUGUUCGUAAUUACUUGUCGCGGAAAUGGAUGUAUCUAGACGUAUUUUAAUUCUAGAUACAUCCAUUUUCGAGACAAGUAAUUCCGAACAGAGGGAGCACCCU
rfam:Triticum aestivum genome assembly, contig: Triticum_aestivum_CS42_TGACv1_scaffold_022400_1AS